rnacentral:rRNA from 1 species
AGUGAACGCUGGCGGUAGGCCUAACACAUGCCAGUCGAACGGCAGCACAGUAAGAGCUUGCUCUUACGGGUGGCGAGUGGCGGACGGGUGAGGAAUACAUCGGAAUCUACUUUUUCGUGGGGGAUAACGUAGGGAAACUUACGCUAAUACCGCAUACGACCUACGGGUGAAAGCAGGGGAUCUUCGGACCUUGCGCGAUUGAAUGAGCCGAUGUCGGAUUAGCUAGUUGGCGGGGUACAGGCCCACCAAGGCGACGAUCCGUAGCUGGUCUGAGAGGAUGAUCAGCCACACUGGAACUGAGACACGGUCCAGACUCCUACGGGAGGCAGCAGUGGGGAAUAUUGGACAAUGGGCGCAAGCCUGAUCCAGCCAUACCGCGUGGGUGAAGAAGGCCUUCGGGUUGUAAAGCCCUUUUGUUGGGAAAGAAAAGCAGCAGGUUAAUACCCCGCUGUUCUGACGGUACCCAAAGAAUAAGCACCGGCUAACUUCGUG